rnacentral:rRNA from 1 species
CCAAUAGCGUAUUAUUAAAGUUGUGUGCAGUUAAAAAGCUCGUAGUUGAACUUCAGACCUGGCUGGGUGGUCCGCUUAACGGCGUGUACUGCUUGGCUGGGCCUUACUUCUUGGUGAGCCGGCGUGCCCUUUAUUGGUGUGCGUCGGGGAACCAGGACUUUUACCUUGAGAAAAUUAGAGUGUUCAAAGCAGGCCUAUGCCUGAAUACAUUAGCAUGGAAUAAUAGAAUAGGACGUGCGGUUCUAUUUUGUUGGUUUCUAGAGUCGCCGUAAUGAUUAAUAGGGACAGAUGGGGGCAUUCGUAUUGCGACGUUAGAGGUGAAAUUCUUGGAUCGUCGCAAGACGGACAGAAGCGAAAGCAUUUGCCAAAAAUGUUUUCAUUAAUCAAGAACGAAAGUUAGAGGUUCGAAGGCGAUCAGAUACCGCCCUAGUUCUAACCAUAAACGAUGCCAGCUAGCGAUCCGCCGAAGUUCCUCCGAUGACUCGGCGGGCAGCUUCCGGGAAACCAAAGCUUUUGGGUUCCGGGGGAAGUAUGGUUGCAAAGCUGAAACUUAAAGGAAUUGACGGAAGGGCACCACCAGGAGUGGAGCCUGCGGCUUAAUUUGACUCAACACGGGAAACCUCACCAGGCCCAGACACCGGGAAGGAUUGACAGAUUGAUAGCUCUUUCUUGAUUCGGUGGGUGGUGGUGCAUGGCCGUUCUUAGUUGGUGGAGCGAUUUGUCUGGUUAAUUCCGAUAACGAACGAGACUCUAGCCUGCUAAAUAGGCGUACCUUAUGGUAUCGCGAAGGCCCCCGGCUUCGGCCGGUGGGUUUUUACUACCAA